UACGUAGGGUGCGAGCGUUUGUCCGGAAUUAUUGGGCGUAAAGGGAGUGUAGGCGGUUUGCUAAGUCUUCUGUGAAAUCUACGGGCUCAGCCUGUAACGUGCAGAGGAAACUGACAGACUUGAGUGUCGGAGAGGAUAGUGGAAUUCCCGGUGUAGAGGUGAAAUUCGUAGAGAUCGGGAGGAACACCAGUGGCGAAGGCGACUAUCUGGCUGACAACUGACGCUGAGACUCGAAAGCAUGGGGAGCAAACAGG
rnacentral:rRNA from 1 species